UACGUAGGCAGCGAGCGUUGUUCGGAUUUACUGGGCGUAAAGGGCGCGUAGGCGGCAAAUUAAGUCAGCUGUGAAAUCUCCGAGCUUAACUCGGAACUGUCAGCUGAUACUGAUGUGCUAGAGUGCGGAAGGGGCAAUCGGAAUUCUUGGUGUAGCGGUGAAAUGCGUAGAUAUCAAGAGGAACACCUGAGGUGAAGACGGGUUGCUGGGCCGACACUGACGCUGAGUGCGCGAAAGCCAGGGGAGCAAACGGG
rnacentral:rRNA from 1 species